rnacentral:lncRNA from 1 species
UGCUGUGCUUUUGUAGCUGUUCUGUAUCAGCACAGGCUGCAUCCCAGGUGUUUUUCAAUAUCAGCUGUUUCUCAGCUUCAGGAGCACUUACCUGAUGCUAAGAGGUUUGAACAUUAAGGAACAAUUGAAAUACGCAUUUCUGUUGAGUAUUAGGCUGGGUGUUAUGUGACAGCUGAGAGAAAAUGCCUGCUGUGACUAUCUAAAAUAUAACAAGAAGAAGAAACGCAUCUACUGGUCAACACAACUGUAGUUGGUAUGAAAUGAUAUUUCCAUCAGAGAGAUGGGUAGCUUGCCCAGAUGCUGAGCUGUGCAUUUCUAUCAGGAAAGAGCCGAUGGUGAAAUAUGUGUUGAGAGGCUUCAUUGCUCCAGAUGCUGUUCAGAAAGGGACAGGAUAGUUUGCUGCUGGGGUUAUGGACUUAUUGUGUUGCUCAUCACAUAAGACACGUGGAGCUAUUCCAGUCACCUGCUGUCUAUCUUACCUACUGCUGUAGCUAUCUGGCAGCCACAAGGCAGCUUGAAUGAUUCAGAGCAGGGGUUGGAACAACUGAAGAAACACAGAUUUCCUAAUCUGCUUUCUAAUUAAUUAAAGUUCAUAUAUGCGGUGUUGUUUCUCAAGCUGCAAAAAUCGUGUGUUGUGCAGGCUACUCUGCAAUUCCCGCUCUAUUAUGUGCUGCAUAGAGGGGAAGAUAUAUUUAUUGUUCAGCUCCACAAUACCAAUUUUAUUUUAACUCUCUUAACACUUCAGCUGUUAAAACUCAGAAAUGUUACGGUGCAACUGAAAUAGAUUCAAUUAUCUUGAAAUUCGUUGGAUACAGUUGCAUCUCGGUGUCCAUCUUUCAACUGCUGUUUGGUACUGUAUAAAUUAAGUAGCAUUAUGACAAUGACAGUAAUAUCAUGGGAGAGACCCAAGUUGUUAGUGUACAGCAUUAGAAGUAGAUUAAUCUGAUUAAGCUUUAAUAUAAAAAUAAAUUGUAUUUGCAAUUCA